UCCGAUUUUAAUAUCGGCAGUCUCAUUAGAGUCCCCAGCAUGACCUGUUGGCAACUAAUGAUAGGGGUUGCGCUCGUUACGGGACUUAACCCAACACCUCACGGCACGAGCUGACGACAGCCAUGCAGCACCUAGUUUCGUGCAAUUGCUUGCUGCCAUGUUUCUACGGCAUUCACUAACUUUCAAGCCCAGGUAAGGUUCUUCGCGUUGCCUCGAAUUAAACCACACGCUCCGCUGCUUGUGCGGGCCCCCGCCUAUUCCUUUGAGUUUUAACCUUGCGGCCGUAGUCCCCAGGCGGUGAACUUAAUGCGUUAGCUGCGGCACUGAUCGGGUCAAUCCGACCAACACCUAGUUCACAACGUUUAGGGCGUGGACUAC
rnacentral:misc_RNA from 1 species